AGUGAACGCUGGCGGUAGGCCUAACACAUGCAAGUCGAACGGCAGCACAGGAGAGCUUGCUCUCUAGGUGGCGAGUGGCGGACGGGUGAGGAAUACAUCGGAAUCUGCCCAGUCGUGGGGGAUAACGUAGGGAAACUUACGCUAAUACCGCAUACGACCUUCGGGUGAAAGAGGGGGAUCGCAAGACCUCUCGCGAUUGGAUGAGCCGAUGUCGGAUUAGCUAGUUAGCGGGGUAAUGGCCCACCAAGGCGACGAUCCGUAGCUGGUCUGAGAGGAUGAUCAGCCACAAUGGAAAUGAGAAACGGUCCAGACCCCUACGGGGGGCAGCAGUGGGGAAUUUUGGACAAGGGGCGCAAGCCUGAACCACCCAUACCGGGGGGGGGAAGAAGGCCUUCGGGUUGUAAAGCCCUUUUGUUGGGAAAAAAAUCUUUCAGGCUAAUACCCUGGGGGGAGGACGGUACCCAAAGAAAAAGCACCGGCUAACUUCGU
rnacentral:rRNA from 1 species